CCAGCAGCCGCGGUAAUUCCAGCUCCAAUAGCGUAUAUUAAAGUUGUUGUAGUUAAAAAGCUCGUAGUUGAAUAUCUGGUGGGAGCAGUCAGUCUGAUACUUUGUAUCAGAAUUUGUAUUGUCUCUGACCAUCCUUGGGGGGAGCCUGUCUGGCAUUAGGUUGUCGGGCAGGGGACCACCAUCUUUUACUGUGAAGAAAUUAGAGUGUUCAAAGCAGGCUUACGCUGUUGAAUAUAUUAGCAUGGAAUAAUAAUAUAGGACCUUGGGACUAUUUUGUUGGUUUGUGUGCCAUGGUAAUGAUUGAUAGGGACAGUUGUGGGUAUUUGUAUUCCAAUGUCAGAGGUGAAAUUCUUGGAUUUCUGGAAGACAAACUACUGCGAAAGCAUUUACCAAGGAUGUUUUCAUCAAUCAAGAACGAAAGU
rnacentral:rRNA from 1 species